ensembl:lncRNA
CAGUAUUAUGAGUAAUGAGGAUAAACACUGGUACGUGAUAUAUUUUAUACACUACAUUUUAGCUAUAUUUCAUGUGUGUCAACAGCGGCUGAGGUCCACAUCCUUAGCCUGCUGGAGACCAUUAAACAACAACAAGACCAGCUUGUGGCAAAGGUGAACUACCUCAGCAGCAGGCUGAACAGCAACCCCGGGGCCAAAUAUCCAGUUUCCCCUGGAACAAUUGGAGGCAGUGGAGGCAUUUGAAAUGUUUUUAAAGGAAAUGUCAAAUUGCCCAGCUCGACAGAGCGUGAUUUCUUCUUUGGCCACCAUUGGUGGUCAGGAUGUGAAGAGAGUGACCUGGAACAUCCUGGCCAGGCUCUUCACAGAUGAGGUGCUGUGAGGAAAAACACAGUGACACGGUCAGCCACGGACUCAGAGGUCACCAAGCACGCAAUCAGGUGGUUCAACCUGGCAGCGUAUCGGGCAAUGAGGAGACGUGUCCUGCCUCAAGCCACACAAACGGAGUAAUAGGAGAAAUAAGCAAGAAACAAUAUUUUUUUGAACUUCUUGUCGUUCUCCAGUUAUUAAUUUUCUGAUAUUUUAGCUGUGCAUUUCAUUGAAGUUUUAGCCUAAUGGAUAAAAUUUUUAUGUCUGCACCGACCUAGGCCUAUAAAGCACUAAAUUAGGUUUUGACCACAAAAUGAAUGUAAAGUAGCUUAGCCAACGUAGG